UACCAGCACCCCGAGUGGUCGGGACGAUUAUUGGGCCUAAAGCAUCCGUAGCCGGUCAUGCAAGUCCUCCGUUAAAUCCAGCCGCUCAACGGUUGGGCUGCGGAGGAUACUACGUGGCUAGGAGGCGGGAGAGGCAAGCGGUACUCAGUGGGUAGGGGUAAAAUGUGUAGAUAUAUGGAAGAACACCAAUAACGGCGAAGGCAGUUAACUAUUCUGUUACUGACAUUGAGGCACGAAAGCGUGGGGAGCAAAACGG
rnacentral:rRNA from 1 species